CAGCUGUGAUGAAACUGCACGAGCGCCAUCUGACUCAUCAUCGUGCUGAUACUCAGAGGCUGUUUCUGAGCUG
rnacentral:snoRNA from 1 species